UACCUUUCGAACUGCAGCAACAAAUUGAUUCUAGCCAUCACAAAUCAACAACACAACAGAAUUAUUUCUAAAGGACCUACAGAAGAGGAUACUUAGUUUCCUGAUCAGCUCAGAUAAAUUAUUUGGAUUGUCUCCAAAUCAGGUGAGGCUUUAUUUACGAAAUGUAUGUUGAGCUAAUAAGCUCGCUCUUAUGAAAUGUUAAAGUGGAUGGUUCAUGCUUAAAAUAUUUCUGCUCUCUAUUGGUUAUUGCUUCUACCAGAACAUUGUUGGCUUCGCCAACCAGAACUUUGUUAGCUCUGCUAACCAGAAUUGUGUACGUACACCAGAACCUGUUGUCUCGAGAGAUUCGAUGACAACCAGUUGUAGAUAGCACGCCCAAUAGAUGAGCCAGGAAAAUAUGAGCUCAGAUUAUUUUAGUAUGCAUGGAAUGACUCACUUUAAAAACAUUCUGUGUUAUACUGUUUAAGGCAUGAAUUAUCUUUUUCAGUAAAUGAUUUUUAAAAUGUUUUUAAAUGGCUCAACCCACUGAGUACACUAGUACUCAGCCCUGCAAUUGUUUUCGAAACCUUUUGCAGAUUGAGCAGCUGGUGGUGACGUGCGAGGCUGAGGAAGGGUUGUUGCUAUGGAUUUUGAAAAAAAUGCUAUGUUUACUUCCGCUGAAAUAAAUUCACUUAGUGAAUAUUAUCUGAUGCCUAACUAUGUUAAUACUUUUAUUCAUAUUUUUAAUAUGAAUUUCACUCUCCAUCACUUUCUUAGCGAUUGUUUUCCGCAUCUAUCAUAUGCUUAGUAUGAGACGUUGUCUUGGUCUCAGACCUUCGAACUUUCGAUCCUGAUAGGGAGAAUAAUUAUGUUAUAAUGUCGUACUUGUUUUCAUUUAAAUACGGCAUAAUGCCCAACCCUCAGGGAACAUUACCUA